rnacentral:rRNA from 1 species
AGAGUUUGAUCCUGGCUCAGGGUGAACGCUGGCGGUAUGCCUAAGACAUGCAAGUCGCACGGACUGUUUCGGCAGUUAGUGGCGGACGGGUGAGUAACACGUAGGUGACCUACCCCAAAGUCUGGGACAACUAGGAGAAAUCUUAGCUAAUCCUGGAUGUGAACCUCAGCUGUGGCUGAUGUUUAAAGCUUCGGCGCUUUGGGAUGGGCCUGCGGCGCAUCAGGUAGUUGGUGGGGUAACGGCCCACCAAGCCGACGACGCGUAGCUGGUCUGAGAGGACGACCAGCCACAGGGGUACUGAGACACGGACCCCACUCCUACGGGAGGCAGCAGUUAGGAAUCUUCCGCAAUGGGCGAAAGCCUGACGGAGCGAUACCGCUUGAAGGACGAAGCCCUUCGGGGUGUAAACUUCUGAACUCGGGACGAUAAUGACGGUACCGAGGUAAUAGCACCGGCUAACUCCGUGCCAGCAGCCGCGGUAAUACGGAGGGUGCGAGCGUUACCCGGAUUUACUGGGUGUAAAGGGCGUGUAGGCGGUCUCUCAAGUCCGAUGCUAAAGACCGAAGCUCAACUUCGGGGGUGCGUUGGAUACUGUGAGGCUAGACGGUCGGAGAGG